rnacentral:rRNA from 1 species
GACGAACGCUGGCGGCGUGCCUAAUACAUGCAAGUUGAGCGCUGAAGGUUGGUACUUGUACCAACUGGAUGAGCAGCGGACGGGUGAGUAACGCGUGGGGAAUCUGCCUUUGAGCGGGGGACAACAUUUGGAAACGAAUGCUAAUACCGCAUAAAAACUUUAAACACAAGUUUUAAGUUUGAAAGAUGCAAUUGCAUCACUCAAAGAUGAUCCCGCGUUGUAUUAGCUAGUUGGUGAAGUAAAGGCUCACCAAGGCGAUGAUACAUAGCCGACCUGAGAGGGGGAACGGCCAACUCGGGAAUGGGACACGGCCCAAGCCCCUACGGGAGGCAACAGGAGGGAAUCUUUGGCAAGGGGCGGAAAGCUGACCGAGGAACGCCGCGGGAGGGAAGAAAGUUCUCGGAUCGUAAAACCCUGUUGGUAGGGAAGAACGAUGGUGAGAGUGAAAAGCGCAUAUAGUGACGGUAACUACCCAGAAAGCGACGGCUAACUACGUG